GCCUGAGGAAAUUCAAGUGUGAGCACACA
rnacentral:piRNA from 1 species